rnacentral:rRNA from 1 species
GAUGAACGCUGGCGGCGUGCCUAAUACAUGCAAGUCGAGCGAAUGGAUUAAGAGCUUGCUCUUAUGAAGUUAGCGGCGGACGGGUGAGUAACACGUGGGUAACCUGCCCAUAAGACUGGGAUAACUCCGGGAAACCGGGGCUAAUACCGGAUAACAUUUUGAACCGCAUGGUUCGAAAUUGAAAGGCGGCUUCGGCUGUCACUUAUGGAUGGACCCGCGUCGCAGUAGCUAGUUGGUGAGGUAACGGCUCACCAAGGCAACGAUGCGUAGGCGACCUGAGAGGGUGAUCGGCCACACUGGGACUGAGACACGGCCCAGACUCCUACGGGACGCCGCAGUAGGGAAUCUUCCGCAAUGGACGAAAGUCUGACGGAGCAACGCCGCGUGAGUGAUGAAGGCUUUCGUGUCGUAAAACUCUGUUGUUAGGGAAGAACAAGUGCUAGUUGAAUAAGCUGGCACCUUGACGGUACCUAACCAGAAAGCCACGGCUAACUACGUGCCAGCAGCCGCAGUAA